rnacentral:rRNA from 1 species
UACAGAGGUCCCAAGCGUUGUUCGGAUUCACUGGGCGUAAAGGGCUCGUAGGCGGCCAACUAAGUCGGACGUGAAAUCCCUCAGCUUAACUGGGGAACUGCGUCCGAUACUGGAUGGCUUGGAUUUGGGAGAGGGAUGCGGAAUUCCAGGUGUAGCGGUGAAAUGCGUAGAUAUCUGGAGGAACACCGGUGGCGAAGGCGGCAUCCUGGACCAAUAUUGACGCUGAGGAGCGAAAAGCCAGGGGGAGCAAACGGGG